GACGAACGCUGGCGGCGUGCCUAAUACAUGCAAGUCGAACGCUGAAGGAGGAGCUUGCUUCUCUGGAUGAGUUGCGAACGGGUGAGUAACGCGUAGGUAACCUGCCUGGUAGCGGGGGAUAACUAUUGGAAACGAUAGCUAAUACCGCAUAAUAGUAGAUGUUGCAUGACAUUUGCUUAAAAGGUGCAAUUGCAUCACUACCAGAUGGACCUGCGUUGUAUUAGCUAGUUGGUGGGGUAACGGCUCACCAAGGCGACGAUACAUAGCCGACCUGAGAGGGUGAUCGGCCACACUGGGACUGAGACACGGCCCAGACUCCUACGGGAGGCAGCAGUAGGGAAUCUUCGGCAAUGGACGGAAGUCUGACCGAGCAACGCCGCGUGAGUGAAGAAGGUUUUCGGAUCGUAAAGCUCUGUUGUAAGAGAAGAACGAGUGUGAGAGUGGAAAGUUCACACUGUGACGGUAUCUUACCAGAAAGGGACGGCUAACUACG
rnacentral:rRNA from 1 species